UACGUAGGGGGCAAGCGUUGGUCCGGAAUCAUUGGGCGUAAAGAGCGUGUAGGCGGCUCGGUAAGUCCGCUGUGAAAGUCCAGGGCUCAACCCUGGAAUGCCGGUGGAAACUGUCGAGCUAGAGUCCGGAAGAGGCGAGUGGAAUUCCUGGUGUAGCGGUGAAAUGCGCAGAUAUCAGGAAGAACACCCGUGGCGAAGGCGGCUCUCUGGGACGGUACUGACGGCUGAGACGCGAAAGCGUGGGGAGCGAACAGG
rnacentral:rRNA from 1 species